UGAUCCUACGGGGAGCAGCAGUAGGGAAUAUUGCUCAAUGGGGGAAACCCUGAAGCAGCAACGCCGCGUGGAGGAUGAAGGUUUUCGGAUUGUAAACUCCUUUUGUUAGAGAAGAUAAUGACGGUAUCUAACGAAUAAGCACCGGCUAACUCAGUGCCAGCAGCCGCGGUAAUACGGAGGGUGCAAGCGUUACUCGGAAUCACUGGGCGUAAAGAGCGCGAAGGCGGGAUAGAAAGUCAGAUGUGAAAUCCUAUGGCUUAAACAUAGAACUGCAUUUGAAACUG
rnacentral:rRNA from 1 species